rnacentral:lncRNA from 1 species
GUUGGUUAUGAAUUAAGAAGAGAAAUGGAUCAAAUCGGAAAAUAAAAUGAAGUUACAUCACUUCCGUCAUGAAGUUGCAACGCUCCGACGAAAGGUGGCGUACGAGCAGAGCGGAGUGAAGUCGGGGGAGUCACUACAGAGUCGUCGUGUCGAGCGGACGUGCACUGCCGUUAUAGUCGGGCAGUCUACCGCGAACCUUCGUCGUGAACGGACGUGUCGAAUAAUUACGAUCGGAACGUGGAGUGCUAUAGUCGCUCACCUAUAACUUGUAGGGACGUCAAGAAAGUGUGAUCGGAAAAGAGCACGUGUCCCGAUGAUUCGGUCCGAAUAUAGGAACCAUGGGUGGUGGAGGGCAAGUAGAGGGCGAGUAGCCCCUUCGCGCUAACGUCCUUAUGCGCGCUAGAUAACGAGAGACUGUGUAACCGUUACGAAUACCGUGACGUUGCCGUGAGUGUGUACCUUAUGCUGUGACUUUAUUUAAUCGUGAUACAAAAACUAUGUGGAAGUAAAUAAAAUGAUUGUGAUACUGAUGACGGCCAUUAUUGUCUUCUAACGCCCACCCUCCAUUCUGAUGAUGAUGUUACGCGACACCCACACUGCUACGACAUCAGAAGCGGGAUUAGUGAACUUGGAUGAAGACAACGUGAUGUGACGUUCACAACAAGACAAUGCAAGUUUCGAUUAUCACAAUCAGAAGAAGAUUAUGAUGAUUAUCACAUUCGUGUGACCACGUGAUGAAGAUGUAGUGUCAUGCCUGAAUUUGGAGAUGGACCUGAAUUUGAAGUGACCUGGACCUUGUUAAUGAUCGACAUCACUACAUGCCGUAAGAUAUGAUGGCGUGAACAUCACAAUAUGUCCAUACUGUGUGCAGUCGUGUUUGAAAAUUAUGGAACCUGAAAUUGAAAACUGUUAUUACGGUGAGUCGUUUUCAUACUGGAACCUUAUUGUUGUUGACUUUAUUGCUAUGUGAAUUUCCGUUUCUAAUAAUGAGGAAAUUGUUUUUUAAAAAAAACAAAAUUGACGAGACACAUUGUGUCAAUCCGUGUCAAUCACACCGCGUUUUCCAAUCUGUUUUCAUCAUCGUAAAAUCUUUGUAUUUUGGUCUAAAAAUAUUUCGAAUUGGUGUAGACACGCUUGACCUGCGUGGUUAAAGUUGUAUUUUCUCACUCCAAGCAAAAAGAAAUUAAUCAUGACAUGAUAAUUGAGUCUCGUUGAAUAACGUGUUUUGUAAUCUACCGUCAUUCAUCAAAUGUUUCAAUAUUCAACAUUCUUUAAUAAUCUUUUUAAACUGAUUGAAAGAAAGUCAUGUGAAUACGAUAAUACAGUGAAUUCUUUUGUUUCAUGUCAUAACUUGGUUCGGCAAUUGGUGGAUUGCAAGCGGGGAAGAAAAUGGCGCGGGCUGAGCCGUAGCCGUGUUAAGUGACGACAUCUUGACAGCGCGUUGUAUACCAGCCGGACUUGCUGCGCUGGUGAAGACCUAAACCAUGUCACAAGACCAGUGGUUGAUCUUUUAUUGGAAAUUCUUAUAAGUUCUGGUGAGUCGUAUCUGUUUUACCUGAUUUGAAUAAUGGAAUUUUUAUUAGGUUUCAAACGAAUAUAGUGCAGAAAGUUCUCUUUUGUUAACUUUAAUUAAAUUGGAAAUCGUAAUGAAGUGAAGUAAACAUUGCGAAGUAAAAUGAUUUGGAUUAUGAUUAAAUGAAAUAGGCUUAAAAAAUGCCCGAAACAGUAAAUCAUUAGUGAGAAAAUUGGAGCAAAACAUUCUAAAUAAUGAUAAUACCGAAUUGGUAAUUGUUUAAAUGCGGUAAUGUUUCCUCGAGGUGUUGGUCGCUACACUGUGACUUUAUGACUUGUGUGUGUGAGAGCAGGGUGCUCUGUCGUUUUGUGGUCGUGGACCAUGGUGGCCAUCCCGGGAGGGGAUGUUGUGACUUAUGACUGUUUUGUAGCGUAACCACAGUUUGGGGAGGAAUAUUACAGUCUGUUGUGCUUUGCAGUAGAUGUGUAAUAAUGUUAAUUGAUUUAAUUGAGUAAUGAAAGCUAUGAUUGACCUGUUUCGGAGCAACUCUAAUAGGAAGCUGCGCACUUGUAGUGUUCGGGGCUGCAGCCACUUUUGUGCUGCUCGUCUUAGAAACUACAGGUAUGCGGUCGAAGCCUGGAUGUCAUGUUGACUUUGUAUUUGGUCAUGACAUUGUACCUGAAUCUAAGUCAAGUUGACCUCCGGUAGAAUUAGUCGAACUGCACAAAUUAGAAAUUAGUGAUAUAAAAGAAAUUGUGUAACGCAUUGACCACUAUUCUACCAACUAAAAUGUACGUAAAGUUUGUGUGCUAGCUGUGUUGAGAUAUCGUCACUUGGUGUAAGUGGCAUGAGUUGCUGUCGCUCGAUUUAGGUGGCAGUAACGACUGUGUUGGGAUAUCGUCACUUGGUGUAAGUGGCAUGAGUUGCUGUCGCUCGAUUUAGGUGGCAGCAACGACUGUGUUGAGAUAUCGUCACUUGGUGUAAGUGGCAUGAGUUGCUGUCGCUCGGUUUAGGUGGCAGCAACGACUGUGUUGAGAUAUCGUCACUUGGUGUAAGUGGCAUGAGUUGCUACCGCUCGAUUUAGGUGGUAGUGACGCCUGGUUGUGAGAUAUCGUCACUCAGUAGAGUGGCAUGAGUUGCUACCGCUCGAUUUAGGUGGUAGUGACGCCUGGUUUUGAGAUAUCGUCGCUCAGUAGAGUGGCAUGAGUUACUAUCGCUCGUUUAGGUGAUAGUAACGACCGAUGUGUAAAGAGUAAUUGGAUUUUCAAGUUUGGUUGUUUAUAGUGUGUGAAUACUGGUCAAUGGUCCGUGUAUUGUUAGUUGAUGAUUUAUCAUGAUGUAAUGUGAGCUCAUGUAGAGUCACAAGUAGAGCUCGUGUAGAGUCACAAGUAGAGCUCGUGUAGAGUCACAAGUAGAGCUCGUGUAGAGUCACAAGUAGAGCUCGUGUAGAGUCACAAGUAGAGCUCGUGUAGAGUCACAAGUAGAGCUCGUGUAGAGUCACAAGUAGAGCUCGUGUAGAGUCACAAGUAGAGCUCAUGUAGAGUCCUUUAUAGAGUCUCAUGUUAGGUCAGGAAUGACCGAGCGAACUUGGAUACUGUGCUGUGGUAUAUUGUUUCAGAUUAACACACGAGGACGUGUGUCACGCAGGAUGGCCGUGUCGGAGUUGGUUAUGAAUUAAGAAGAGAAAUGGAUCAAAUCGGAAAAUAAAAUGAAGUUACAUCACUUCCGUCAUGAAGUUGCAACGCUCCGACGAAAGGUGGCGUACGAGCAGAGCGGAGUGAAGUCGGGGGAGUCACUACAGAGUCGUCGUGUCGAGCGGACGUGCACUGCCGUUAUAGUCGGGCAGUCUACCGCGAACCUUCGUCGUGAACGGACGUGUCGAAUAAUUACGAUCGGAACGUGGAGUGCUAUAGUCGCUCACCUAUAACUUGUAGGGACGUCAAGAAAGUGUGAUCGGAAAAGAGCACGUGUCCCGAUGAUUCGGUCCGAAUAUAGGAACCAUGGGUGGUGGAGGGCAAGUAGAGGGCGAGUAGCCCCUUCGCGCUAACGUCCUUAUGCGCGCUAGAUAACGAGAGACUGUGUAACCGUUACGAAUACCGUGACGUUGCCGUGAGUGUGUACCUUAUGCUGUGACUUUAUUUAAUCGUGAUACAAAAACUAUGUGGAAGUAAAUAAAAUGAUUGUGAUACUGAU